UACGUAGGGGGCGAGCGUUAUCCGGAUUUACUGGGUGUAAAGGGAGCGUAGACGGCGUCGCAAGUCUGAAGUGAAAGCCCGUGGCUCAACCGCGGAACCGCUUUGGAAACUGUGAGGCUGGAGUGCUGGAGAGGUAAGCGGAAUUCCUGGUGUAGCGGUGAAAUGCGUAGAUAUAAGGAAGAACACCAGUGGCGAAGGCGGAUGACUGGACGGCAACUGACGGUGAGGCGCGAAAGCGUGGGGAGCAAACAGG
rnacentral:rRNA from 1 species